AUACGUAGGUGACAAGCGUUAUCCGGAUUUACUGGGCGUAAAGGGCGUGUAGGCGGUCUUGCAAGUCAGAAGUGAAAUUCCUGAGCUCAACUCGGGCGCUGCUUCUGAAACUGCAGGACUUGAGUGCUGGAGGGGAUAGCGGAAUUCCUAGUGGAGCGGUAAAAUGCGCAGAUAUUAGGAAGAACACCGGUGGCGAAGGCGGCUAUCUGGACAGUAACGGACGCUGAGGCGCGAAAGAGUGGGGAGCAAACAGAAUUAGAUACCCUGGUAGUCCACGCCGUAAACGAUGAAUGCUAGGUGUAAGAGGUAUCGACCCCUUUUGUGCCGGAGUCAACACAAUAAGCAUUCCGCCUGGGGAGUACGGCCGCAAGGUUGAAACUCAAAUGAAUUGGCGGGG
rnacentral:rRNA from 1 species